AAGGAGAGCUUAGCGGCUGAUUAGCUUGUUGGUGAGGUAAUGGCUCACCAAGGCGACGAUCAGUAUCUGGUUUGAGAGGACGAUCAGACACACUGGAACUGAGACACGGUCCAGACUCCUACGGGAGGCAGCAGUAGGGAAUUUUCCGCAAUGGGCGAAAGCCUGACGGAGCAAUCUCGCGUGAGGGAUGACGGCCUAUGGGUUGUAAACCUCUUUUUUCAGGGAGGAAUAAAUGACGUGUACCUGAAGAAUAAGCAUCGGCUAACUCCGUGCCAGCAGCCGCGGUAAGACGGAGAUGCAAGUGUUAUCCGGAAUCACUGGCGUAAAGCGUCUGUAGGUGGUUUAAUAAGUCAACUGUUAAAUCUGGAGCUCACUCAAAAUCGCAGUCAAACUAUUAAGCUAGAGUGAUAAGUAGGGA
rnacentral:rRNA from 1 species